rnacentral:rRNA from 1 species
UUGAAAGGGAAACGAUUGAAGUCAGUCGUGCUGGCAUGAAAUCAACCGUUGCGCUAGUAAGUUGUCUGCGGGUGAGCUAAAAACCAUCGCGUUGACAUUUUUGCGUGCGCAGCGGUGCACUUUUGUGUCAGCUGGUUAGCAUCAAUUUCGACCGUCAUAAAAAGGCUGGGGGGAUGUGGCUCCUUCGGGAGUGUUAUAACCCUUAGCGGAAUGUGGUGGACGAGAUUGAGGUUUGCAACGGGUGCCGCUCUGCCUGGCCUCUCGCUGGCGCCCUGGAGGCGACAGCUCGCUGACGUCUUUGGGAGCCGCUGACGAAAAGGUUAGAGUGGAGUUGCCCGUUAAGGAUGUUGACGUA